UACGAAGGGUGUAAGCGUUACUCGGAAUUACUGGGCGUAAAGCGUGCGUAGGUGGUUUGUUAAGUCUGAUGUGAAAGCCCUGGGCUCAACCUGGGAAUUGCAUUGGAUACUGGCAGGCUAGAGUGCGGUAGAGGAUGGCGGAAUUCCCGGUGUAGCAGUGAAAUGCGUAGAGAUCGGGAGGAACAUCUGUGGCGAAGGCGGCCAUCUGGACCAGCACUGACACUGAGGCACGAAAGCGUGGGGAGCAAACAGGG
rnacentral:rRNA from 1 species